rnacentral:rRNA from 1 species
CCUUAGAGUUUGAUCCUGGCUCAAAACGAACUCUGGCGGCGCGUCUUAAGCAUGCAAGUCGGACGGCAAGGGUUGUGCUUGCACAACUCCUAGAGUGGCGGACUGGUGAGUAACGCGUGGGUGACCUGCCCUCGAGAUGGGGAUAGCCAUUAAAAAUAGUGGAUAAUACCGAAUAAGCUCAUGACCCUGUGGGGAUAUGAAGAAAACAGGCUACGGCCUGGCUCGAGGAUGGCCCCGCGUCCCAUUAGCUAGUUGGUGGGGUAAUGGCUCACCAAGCCUGCGAUCGGUAGCCGGACUGAGAGGUCGAACGGCCACAUUGGGACUGAGACACGGCCCAGACUCCUACGGGAGGCAGCAGUGGGGAAUUUUGGGCAAUGGGGGCAACCCUGACCCAGCGACGCCGCGUGAAGGACGAAGGCCUUCGGGUUGUAAACUUCUUUGGGGAGGGACGAAGAUGACGGUACCUCCAGAACAAGCCACGGCUAACUACGUGCCAGCAGCCGCGGUAAUACGUAGGUGGCAAGCGUUAUCCGGAUUUACUGGGUGUAAAGGGCGCGCAGACGGCCUCGCAAGUCAGAUGUGAAAGCUCAAGGCUUAACCUUGGAAUGUCAUCUGAAACUGCGGGACUUGAGUAUCAGAGGGGAAAGUGGAAUUCCUGGUGGAGCGGUAAAAUGCGCAGAGAUCAGGAGGAACACCGGUGGCGAAGGCGACUUUCUGGCUGACAACUGACGCUGAGGCGCGAAAGCGUGGGGAGCAAACAAGAUUAGAUACCCUGGUAGUCCACGCCGUAAACGAUGAUUACUGGGUGUAGGGGGUAUCGACUCCCUCUGUGCCGAAGCAAACGCGAUAAGUAAUCCACCUGGGGAGUACGGCCGCAAGGCUAAAACUCAAAGGAAUUGACGGGGGCCCGCACAAGCAGUGGAGUAUGUGGUUUAAUUCGAGGCAACGCGAAGAACCUUACCAGGGUUUGACAUCCCGCGCUAGAGGUAGAGAUACCUUGUUCCUUUCGGGGACGCGGAGACAGGUGGUGCAUGGUUGUCGUCAGCUCGUGUCGUGAGAUGUUCGGUUAAGUCCGGCAACGAGCGCAACCCUCGUGGCCAGUUGCCAUCAUUCAGUUGGGCACUUUGGCAAGACUGCCGUUGACAAAACGGAGGAAGGUGGGGAUGACGUCAAAUCAUCAUGCCCCUUAUGUCCUGGGCUACACACGUACUACAAUGGGCGUUACAACGGGCAGCCACACCGCGAGGUGGAGCGAAUCCCCAAAGGCGCCCCCAGUUCGGAUUGCAGGCUGCAACUCGCCUGCAUGAAGCCGGAAUUGCUAGUAAUGGCAGGUCAGCAUACUGCCGUGAAUACGUUCCCGGGCCUUGUACACACCGCCCGUCA